UGCAACUACCAAACGCGUGAAAGAUUUCACGCUGUCGUUCGACGUCAGUUACAGCGGUUAACGAAUAUUAUUGCUCAAACGAACCAAUACAGUGUGACGUGUCAUUGUAAAAUUUAUGUAGCUCUGCUACACGAGUGUCGUUUAAUUUUGCAGGCGGACGUUCGCACAUGCGGGUUACUGUUAGAGGAGAAAACGACGUUUCGUUCGUCAGUGUAACAAAAUCAGGAGAUUCUCUCAGAGAAAAAUUCAGAAUCUACAGAGACCUUAAACCCUAAGAUGAGAAUUUGAGAAUUACCUAGAAUUGAGAAGAAGAGAGUUGAUACCAGGAUUUUGCUUCACUUCAAACUGAAUAUAAAGUAUAAAGCGUUCACUUUCCGGCUUCAGCAAAUACAGAGAAAAUAUCAGAAAUAGAGUUCGUGAGAAGCAGCAAAAAUGCAGGUUCUUUUCCGCAAGUUGCUACAUAGAACACAGUCGUUCAAACAAGGUACUGGUUGUUGUGGCUAUUCUACAAGCAAGGUCGUUGACAUUGGCCAGCCAACUUCAGCAACUCAUCCUCAGUUGCUAGAAGAAGGGCAGAUUACACCUGGUAUUACUAGUGAGGAGUACAUCUCAAGACGAAAAAGGUUGUUGGAGCUUCUUCCUGAUAAGAGUUUGGCCAUCAUUGCAGCUGCCCCUAUAAAGAUGAUGACGAGUGUUGUGCCUUAUACUUAUCGACCAGAUGCUAAUUACUUAUAUAUCACUGGCUGCCAGCAACCUGGUGGUGUGGCAGUUUUGGGUCAUGAGUGUGGUUUAUGCAUGUUCAUGCCAGAGCCAACACAGCAUGACAUCAUAUGGCAAGGGCCAAGUGCUGGAGUUGAUGAAGCAUUAGAAAUAUUCAAGGCUGAGAAAGCAUAUCCAAUGAGAAAAAUACAUGAUGUUCUUCCAAAUAUGAUAAGGAGAUGCUCCAAGUUGUUUCACAACAUGGAGACAGCCACACAAACAUAUACAGAAUUGGAGGCCUUCCAAACGGCAUCUGUCAUCGGCAAAGUGGAAGACCUCUCCAGUUUCACCCAUGAGUUGCGAUGGAUUAAAUCAUCUGCAGAGGUUAAAUUGAUGAGAGAGUCUGCAUCAAUUGCUUGUCAGGCUCUUUUGCAGACGAUGUUACAUUCUAAGACAUUUCCCUAUGAAGGUAAGCUAGAAGCAAAGGUUGAAUAUGAAAGCAAGAUUAGAGGUGCCCAGAGAAUGGCAUUCAAUCCUGUGGUCGGUGGUGGGUCUAAUGGUAGUAUUGUGCAUUAUUCCCGAAAUGAUCAGAAGAUUAGAGAUGGUGAUCUUGUUUUGAUGGAUGUUGGAUGUGAGUUGCAUGGUUAUGUCAGUGAUCUUUCUCGUACCUGGCCACCCUGUGGCAGUUUUUCUUCAACACAGGAAGAGCUCUAUGAUCUUAUACUUCAAACGAAUAAAUUAUGCAUUCACUUUUGCAGACCUGGUGCUAGCAUUCGGCAAAUACACAACUAUUCAGUUGAAAUGUUGCGUAAAGGACUUAAGGAGAUUGGAAUUUUGAGAGAUAGUGGAAGCAAUUCCUACCAUCUACUAAACCCAACUUCUAUAGGUCACUAUCUAGGAAUGGAUGUCCAUGAUAGUGCUACUGUCAGCUAUGAUCGUCCUCUGAAGCCAGGUGUUGUGAUAACAAUUGAGCCAGGUGUAUAUAUUCCAUCUAUGUUUGAUGGUCCAGAAAGGUUCCGAGGCAUUGGAAUAAGGAUCGAGGAUGAGGUCCUAAUUACAGAAACGGGUUAUGAGGUACUAACUGGCUCGAUGCCUAAAGAAGUAAAGCACAUCGAGUCCUUGCUAAACAAUUACAGUCAUGGGAGUGGAAUGGAGAGCCCGAGUAUUGUGCAUGUUGCUUCCAGUUGACUAUCCCCUUAAAAUGUCGAAAGAGGCUGAACAGUGGCUUAUUGGCUAUGGAUUUCACUACGGAGAGUGACUGUUUACUCUUAGCUUGUAUUAUGAUGUUUUAAUUUCCCACCCACCCAUCUGGAAUUCUGUGGAGAAGGUAACAAGUGAUCAAAUCUUUCAAAAUUUUCAUUGCAACACGUUUCUGUCAAGAUUUGUUGAAUUGGAUGCGAUGACACUCAAGUAAAGGGUGAGCUAAACCAAACUAGUUCUAAAUACUUUGAGAAGCUUCUACUUAUGUUGCACUCUCUCCGUUUUCGAAUACUUUGUCUCAUUUGAGAAAAUACGAUAUUUUCAUAUACUUGUCAUAUAUAUGGAUUUAACAAAUAACAAGUUAUUUUUUCCAUUUUUA